rnacentral:lncRNA from 1 species
GAGAAAAGAAGUUCUCAAACUUGUGGUAUUUGCCAUCAAGAGGGUCAUAAUAGAAUAUCUUGCACAAACAGAGGCAAUCAGGUGAGAUUUGUGUAUAAUUGUGAUGUUCAUGUGUUUUAAUUUUUAUUGUAAUGUAAGUGAUAUAAAUUGUAACUGUUUUGAUUAUAGGUCCCUACAGAUUAACUCGCUAGCCAAUCUAGAACUCACAAAUUAGAAAAUGUAGCCAAUGUUAGAUAUAAAGUGCAUGUGGAUUUGGACAUUAGUGAGACAACAUGUAAUAUAACCAUUUAUUUUGAAUAUGAUUUGUGCAUGAUUUUUAUAAAUCAUUGUAUGAUUAGCUUGAUUCCAUCUUGGCACCCUAGUAUGGUAAGUGAAAGAGUGGUUAUCCCUAUGACUAGAUUUCCUAUUCCAAAUGAGCGAGAAAUGAGGAGGAAAAAGCCAGCAACAACUUCACAAAUUGCUAGUCGAAAAAUCAAGUUUGUUGGGGAUGGCUCUAAGGUUACUUAUGCCAUAUACCUACCUUGUCCAAGACUACAUUGGAUGGGAGAACCUUCAAUUACCUCGAAUCAACUAUAAAGAAAAAGAGAGCAAUGUGUUGGAAGAAAAAAAAGGAAGGCCAGUUCUACUAAUGCAAGUGCAGUUACUUAUCAAAAUGACAAUUAGGAUUAAGUUAUGCC